AAACUCCAAAGCACCCCAGCCACCUACCCCACGCCAAAUUCUUUUUCUUUUCCUCCUCCAUCUCGUCUUCUUCUUUCUUCCACCAUUGUAGAACUUAUAUCCAGAUCGGAGCAACAGCCCUUCGUCUAUUUCAGCGGCAAACUUGACUGACUUUUCUCUUUUUCUUCUUCCUCUAUCAUCUUGCAUAUCAGAUCUAUAUACAUUUUUUUUAAACUCAGCCAGAUCUAUAAAU
rnacentral:lncRNA from 1 species